AAGAAAAAGAAAAAAUCUCCAAUAUACAAUGGAAACUUCUUUGUCUUUCUUCUAUAUUCGCGUCCGUAAGCUAGUCGACAGUGCACGUCUGCCUGGAGAGCGGAAGGUCGGUGGUUCGAUCCCCGGAUACGUCAUACCAAAAGACGUUAAAAUAUUAUACUUCUGUCUAUAUCGUCUCUGCAACCCUCGACGUGGCCGUGUUUGUCUAUAUGGUCUCUGCAACCCUCGACGUGGCCGUGUUUGUCUAUAUGGUCUCUGCAACCCUCGACGUGGCCGUGUGUGUCUAGAUCGUCUCUGCAACCCUCGACGUGGCCGUGUUUGUCUUUAUCGUCUCUGCAACCCACGACGUGGCCGUGUUUGUCUUUAUCGUCUCUGCAACCCACGACGUGGCCGUGUUUGUCUUUAUCGUCUCUGCAACCCUCGACGUGGCCGUGUUUGUCUUUAUCGUCUCUGCAACCCUCGACGUGGCCGUGUUUGUCUUUAUCGUCUCUGCAGCCCACGACGUGGCCGUGUUUGUCUUUAUCGUCUCUGCAACCCACGACGUGGCCGUGUUUGUCUUUAUCGUCUCUGCAACCCUCGACGUGGCCGUGUUUGUCUUUAUCGUCUCUGCAACCCUCGACGUGGCCGUGUUUGUCUUUAUCGUCUCUGCAACCCACGACGUGGCCGUGUUUGUCUUUAUCGUCUCUGCAACCCACGACGUGGCCGUGUGUGUCAUUAUCGUCUCUGCAACUCUCGACGUGGCCGUGUGUGUCUAUAUCGUCUCUGCAACCCCCGACGUGCCCGUGUGUGUCUUUAUCGUCUCUGCAACCCACGACGUGGCCGUGUGUGUCUUUAUCGUCUCUGCAACCCCCGACGUGGCCGUGUGUGUCUAUAUCGUCUCUGCAACCCUCGACGUGGCCGUGUGUGCCUAUAUCGCCUCUGCAACCCUCGACGCGGCCGCGUUUUGUCUAUAUCGCCUCUGCAACUCUCGACGUGGCCGUGUUUGUCUAUAUCGCCUUUGCAACCCUCGACGCGGCCGCGUUUGUCUAUAUCGCCUCUGCAACCCUCGACGGGGCCCUGUAUGUCUAUCGCCUCUGGUUGCACCGAGCCCACGUGUACCUUUCAUCCUCUCCUGCGGUGACGUCCGAUGGUAUACUAGCUGCUACACGCCGUUGUCAGGGGCGCCCGGAUGGCCCAGUCGUUGAAGGCAUCGCAAUUCGAUAUGCAGAGGUUCGAUCCUUGGGCACGCCAGAAACCUAUGAUUGUGGGUUCGAAUCCCGGUUCGCCCCGAUUAUGUUUCUAGGUUUGUCAUCAACAUACCCGUGCUCGUGGGUUUCACCAAAGUUGUAAACGUCUGACACCUGCAUCACUUUGGGCUUUCCAUCCUGCAAUAAGCUGACACGCCAUGAUAUAACUGGAAUACUGUUCAAAGCGGCGUUAAACUACUUACUCGCUCAUCCACUCCCUCUCGCUGAGUACGACCAAAUCCAUAUUGAGGUCAACCCUCUGUGACUCACAGCUUAUCUGAUGGCUGGUCGGCAGCUUGACGGGUAAUUCAAUGAGCGUGAUAAGAACAAUAUGGCCUGCGUUCCCCGGCAGUAUAAUCAUGACAUGUACAUACUGGGUUACAUGUAGACCAACGCCAUUUGUUUAAACAGAUUUCAUAUGUAAAUGGCUGUAUAUAAUUAAAGAUGAACAUUCAUGAACGUUAACAGUAACCAAAGACGUAUAUAUACGUCUUUGCAGUAACCAAGAACAGAGCCUGAACUGAAGACCAGGGAAAAGUUUGACCUGGACAAGGCCAAGGAAGCGAUAUCGUGGAUCGAGAAGGUGACGGGGAGAACUUUGCAGCCGGCA